rnacentral:rRNA from 1 species
AUUGAACGCUGGCGGCAUGCUUUACACAUGCAAGUCGAACGGUAACAGGCCUUCGGGUGCUGACGAGUGGCGAACGGGUGCGUAAUGCAUCGGAACGUGCCCAGAGGUGGGGGAUAACGCAGCGAAAGCUGUGCUAAUACCGCAUGUGAUCUGAGGAUGAAAGCGGGGGACCAGGCAGCAAUGUUUGGCCUCGCGCCUUUGGAGCGGCCGAUGUCAGAUUAGGUAGUUGGUGGGGUAAAGGCCUACCAAGCCGACGAUCUGUAGCUGGUCUGAGAGGACGACCAGCCACACUGGGACUGAGACACGGCCCAGACUCCUACGGGAGGCAGCAGUGGGGAAUUUUGGACAAUGGGCGCAAGCCUGAUCCAGCAAUGCCGCGUGCGGGAAGAAGGCCUUCGGGUUGUAAACCGCUUUUGUACGGAACGAAAAGGCUCUGGCUAAUACCUGGGGCUGAUGACGGUACCGUAAGAAUAAACACCGGCGAACUACGU